rnacentral:tRNA from 1 species
CCUUAAAGUCAGAGCGUCGGACUUUUAAUCCGAAGGCUGUGGGUUCAAGUCCCAC